GGAUUAUCUGUGUAUUGACAGAACUGUUUAUUUGCUCCUGGCAGAAAUAAAUCCCAGCAUAUAUUCCCUGUAGCUUUUUCUUAUUUACAGAGAUGGAAAGCCUAAUCUGUUGCCAAGACCCAUUAUCCUUCGACUUGAGUCAAACAGUGCACCUUGCUUAUUGAAUCAGGGAAUAGUGUGUGUUUUAUGAAGACAGAAAGGAAAAGCACAGAGCUGGCUUUGCCUACAGCAUCCACUGUUGACAGCUACGUUUGAUGCAACAGUAUAGAAAAAGAGCUAUCAACAAUGCCAGCAUCUUCACCAGAGCUAUGGAGCUGCACAGUCAACUCUUAGAUUUCCUUGGAAAUUUUUCAGCGAGUCAAAAUUUUGUUGGAAACAUCUACGCAGCUUUCAUAAUGCAAGUUACUUGGGCUUUUGAAAUGCCUUGGAUUUGACAGAUUCCUGUGAGCUCAAAGGUGAGCUCCUGCCAGGUUUGGCCAGAGGUAGGAGCUGCCAGACCCUUAACCCUGUGGCAGUUGUGGGGGUAUCCAUGUAGUGCAGGUAGCUCAGGGUGCAGCUUGGAUUGAGCCCUGGGUGAGGACAGCUCGAGGCAAGAGGCUGUGACCUGGUGCUGCCCCUUUGCCCCACAAAGGACAGAAGGAUCUUUGGCUCAGACAGGUGACCCGACACUCAGAUACACAGCAGCAGCUGAGGGCUCAGGUGGAAAACCCCAGCCUCAGGGUAUAAAAGCCCAGUGUUUCCUUUGUUCAGUGUCCCUUCUCCAAGGCAAAAGCUUGAGCUGUUACUCUCUUGCUGCACUAUAUAAAAUUACUUAAAGGAACCAGAGGUCUGAGUCCCUUGGGAAACCUGGGAUUGAACUGCUGAGGAAAUCCUGUCUGUGUGGGAUGUGUACGGAGUCAGGCAGGGCACCUGUUGGGUCACUGGAAGGGGCUCUGGUCCC
rnacentral:lncRNA from 1 species